AAAUUAUUUUAAUUCAUUUAAUUAAAAUUUAAUUUAAUUAUUUAAUCCUUUCGUACUAAAAUAAAUUAAUUAUUAAAAGAUAGAAACCAACCUGGCUUACACCGGUUUGAACUCAAAUCAUGUAAGAAUUUAAAGGUCGAACAGACCUAAUAUUUAAAAUUUUGCACCUAAAAUUAAUCUUAAUUCAACAUCGAGGUCGCAAACUAAUUUUUAAAUUUGAACUUAAAAAAUUAAUUACGCUGUUAUCCCUAAAGUAACUUUUUCCUUUAAUUAAAAAUUUUAAUUCAAAUAUUCAUUAAAUAAUGUUAAACUUUAAAAAAAGUUUAAUAAUUUUUUUUAUCACCCCAAUAAAAUAAAUUUUAAUAAUAAAAUAUUUAUAAAUCCAAAAAAUUAAAAUCAAAAUUUAUAAAGUUUUAUAGGGUCUUAUCGUCCCUUUAAAUAAUUUAAGCUUUUUUACUUAAAAAUAAAAUUUUAAUUUUAUAAAUAAUAAAGUUUAUUUCUCAUCAAAUCUUUCAUACAAGUCCUCAAUUAAAAGACUAAUUAUUAUGCUACCUUUGCACAGUCAAAAUACUGCAGCUAUUUAAUAAAUCAUUGAGCAGAUCCUAUAUUAAAUUAAACUUAAUACAAUGUUUUUGUUAAACAGAUGAAAAUAAUUUUUGCCGAAUUCAUAAUUUAUAAAUAUCCAUAUUAUACUAAUUUAAUCAUUAUUACUAUUAAUUAAAUAUUAAUUAAUAAAAUUUAAUAAAAAAAUAAAUAUAAAUAUAAUAAAUUAAAAUUAAACAAAUAAUAAAUUUUUACAAACUUAAAAUAAAAAUUUCUAUUCCUAUAAAUUAUUAAAAUAAAUAAAUUAUUAUAUAAAAAUUUCAAGCUUAUCCCUAAAAUAAUUUAAAUUUAAAAUAUUAAUCAAUAAAAUUAACAUAACUUUUAAAAUUUUAAAUUAAAUUUAAAUCUUAAAUAACUAAAUAUAAUAUAACGAAUUAAAUUUCAAAACUAAUAUUAUUUUUUAAAUAUUUAUAACACAAUAAAUUAAUAAUAAAAUUAACUCUAUAAAUUUUGAGAAAUUAAAAAAAAAUUAAAAAUUUUAAUCAACCCUGAUACAAAAGGUACUAAUUAAAUUCUUUUAAAAAUUUAAUAAUUUCUUUCACAAUACUAUUAAACUAUAAAUCUAUAAAUUAAUUUUUAAUAAAUACUAAAACCUUAAAUAAAUAAAUUAUUUUUAUAAAAAAUACAAAAAAAAAAAAUACAUUAAUAAAUUAAAUUUA
rnacentral:rRNA from 1 species